rfam:TPA: Bos taurus chromosome 22, whole genome shotgun sequence.
CCUGGUGGCUCAGAGGUUAAAGCGUCUGCCUGCAAUGCAGGAGACCUAAGUUCGAUCCCUGGGUCAGGA